rnacentral:rRNA from 1 species
AGUUUGAUUAUGGCUCGAUUGAACGCUGGCGGGAUGCUUACAUACAGUCAGAGCAGCCAAGCACGAGACUUCGAUCUGGUGGCGGUGGCGAACGGGUGAGUAAUGUAUCCGGAACGUGCCUAGUGGCGGGGAAUGCUUCACGGCGUAGCUAAUACCACUAUACGCCCUUCAGGGGAAAGCGAGACCUUCGGGCCUCACGCACUAUUGAGCAGCGAAAUAUCGGAUUGGCUAGUUGGUGGGAGUAACGAAAAGCCUACCAAGGCGACGAUCCGUAGCUGGAUUUGAGAGGACGACCAGCCACACUGGGACUGAGACACGGCCCAGACUCCUACCGGGAGGCAGCAGUGGGGAAUUUUGGACAAUGGGGAAACCCUGAUCCGGCCAUCCGCGUGUGCGAUGAGCCUUCGGGUUGUAAUAAGCACUUUUGGCAGGAAAGCAGCGCGGAUGUGUACAGCCAAAUGACACCUGCAGAAUAAGCACCGGCUAACUACGUGCCAGCAGCCGCGGUAAUACGUAGAGGUGCAAGCGUUAAUCAGAUACUGAGCGUAAAAGCGUGCGCAAGGCAGUUCGGAAAAAAUCAUGAAAUAAGGCUUAGCACAGACUGCAUUUCGCUACCAAAGCUAAAGUGUGUCGAAGGAGGUGGAGUCACGUAUGCAGUGAAAUGCAUGAUCUGUGCGGAGGAACACCGAUGGCGAAGCUUGGCCUCCUGGAUAACACUGACGCUCAUGCAGCGACAAGGGGGCAAACAGGAUUGAAACCGCCUGGUGGUCACCUAAACGUCAACUAGCUGUUGGGGCCUUCGGGCCUUGGUAGCGCAACUAAGCGUAGAAGUUGACCCGCGCAGAGUACGGUCGCAAGAUUAAAACUCAAAGGAAUUGACGGGGACCCACUGUGGUGGAUGAUGUGGAUUAAUUCGAUGCAACUUGAAAAACCUUACCUACGCAUGACAUGUCUGGAAUCCCGAAGAGAUUUGGGAGUGCUCUAUAAGAGAGCCGGAACAUGAGUGCUGCAUGGCUGUGUCGUCCGUCAUUGGUAAAGGCGAGAUGUUGGUUGAACCAUAGCGAGCGCAGCCUUGAUAAGUGAGGUGCUACGAAAGGCCUCUCGGCAGGGCUGCCGGUGAGCGCCGGAGGAAGGUGGGGAUGACGUCGUGAUCCUCAUGGCCUGUGGGUGGGCUUGCGUCGCCACAAUGGUCGGGACAGAGGUCGUAACCAGGAGACAAUCUGAGGCUCCAGAUCGUGGUCGGAUCGCAAGUCUGCAACUCGACUGCGUCGAAGUCGGGAAUCGCUAGUAAUCGCGGAUCAGCAUAACCGCGGUGUCACGUUCAGGUCUUGUACCUGCGCCCGUCACACUAUUGCAGGUGGGUUUUACACCCAGAAGAAGCCAGUUAGCUAACAUCAGGAGGGCGUUACCACAUUUGGGGAUUAGCGGCUGGGGUGAUCGUGGCGUAAAGAUGA